rnacentral:miRNA from 1 species
AAAGUGAGAAACUGCGAAACCAC